AUACGGAGGGUGCGAGCGUUAAUCGGAAUUACUGGGCGUAAAGCGCGCGUAGGCGGUUGGGUAAGUCGGAUGUGAAAGCCCCGGGCUUAACCUGGGAAUUGCAUUCGAUACUGCCCGGCUAGAGUAUGGUAGAGGGAAGCGGAAUUCCGGGUGUAGCGGUGAAAUGCGUAGAUAUCCGGAGGAACACCAGUGGCGAAGGCGGCUUCCUGGACCAAUACUGACGCUGAGGAGCGAAAGCGUGGGGAGCAAACAGGAUUAGAAACCCUAGUAGUCC
rnacentral:rRNA from 1 species